UACGUAGGGUGCAAGCGUUGUCCGGAAUUAUUGGGCGUAAAGAGCUUGUAGGCGGUUUGUCGCGUCUGCUGUGAAAUUUCGGGGCUCAACCCCGAACUUGCAGUGGGUACGGGCAGACUAGAGUGUGGUAGGGGAGACUGGAAUUCCUGGUGUAGCGGUGAAAUGCGCAGAUAUCAGGAGGAACACCGGUGGCGAAGGCGCCACUCUGGGCCGAAACUGACGCUGAGGAGCGAAAGCAUGGGGAGCGAACAGG
rnacentral:rRNA from 1 species